rnacentral:rRNA from 1 species
GACGAACGCUGGCGGCGUGCUUAACACAUGCAAGUCGAACGGAAAGGCCUCUUUCGGGGGGUACUCGAGUGGCGAACGGGUGAGUAACACGUGAGUAACCUGCCCUUGACUUUGGGAUAACUUCAGGAAACUGGGGCUAAUACCGGAUAGGAGCUCCUGCUGCAUGGUGGGGGUUGGAAAGUUUCGGCGGUUGGGGAUGGACUCGCGGCUUAUCAGCUUGGUGGUGGGGUAGUGGCUUACCAAGGCUUUGACGGGUAGCCGGCCUGAGAGGGGUACCGGGCACAUUGGGACUGAGAUACGGCCCAGACUCCUACGGGAGGCAGCAGGUGGGAAUAUUGCACAAUGGGGGGAAGCCUGAUGCAGCAACGCCGUGUGCGGGAUGACGGCCUUCGGGUUGUAAACCGCUUUCGCUCAUGACGAAGCUUUGUGUGACGGUAGUGGGUAAAGAAGCACCGGCUAACUACGUG